rnacentral:rRNA from 1 species
UACGGAGGGGGCUAGCGUUGUCCGAAGUUACUGGGCGUAAAGCGCGCGUAGGCGGGUUGGUAAGUCCGCUGUGAAAGCCCGGAGCUCAACUCCGGAGGGUCGGUGGAUACUGCCAGUCUUGAAGGUGCUAGGGGGGAGAUGGAAUUACCGGUGUAGCGGUGAAAUGCGUAGAUAUCGGUAGGAACACCAGUGGCGAAGGCGGUGAGCUGGGCAGUUGCUGACACUGAGGCGCGACAGCGUGGGGGAGCAAACAGG